UCUAGAGAAUAAUGUUGUGAAAUAAAAGCCCUUCCCAAAAAAAAACUAUAAGUCUAUCACGUCGUUAACUCCCUCUUCCACUCCCAUAAAUUGAAGUCGUCGUCGGACCAGCGCAUCACCUUCUUGCUCUGCUGCUGCCGCUGACUAACUUCAACUCUAUCGUCGAUCACUCUCGCUCACUCCGCCGCCCCUCGCCCCUAAUCCCAUAAAUCUCUCUCCCACCGGCCACACCCUCUCGCAGCCGCCGGUAGACUAGCGCCUGUCAAUCGUUGCGAGAGAUUCAGCAGCGCCAUCGCCCAGAUUUGUGUUGCCGCCACUGUGCCCGAGCCGCCGUCACCGCGCUCUGCCGCCGCCGCCACUGCUGUCGAGCCCUACUGUCGCCGCUGUCAUGCUUAUAAGAUUUUGAUGUAACCAUGGGAAAAGCUACAGUACAAACUUGGCAUGAAUCUGUAACAUUUUUUAAUAGGUCUGCUUCGCCCGAUGCACGGCAGUUCAUG